CUGGUUAACAGUUUUGUCGCUGCCACCUUAACCUUUCGGACUCGACCAGAAUAACUAGUCAUCGAGGACGGGGUGCUGUAACACACCAGUGAUGCUGUUUGGUUUACAACCGUUGACAUCCAGAUCAGAAUCUGCUGCAGAUAAAUGUUUGGUUGCAUCUCCCGUGAGUGAACAGUUCAUUGCCUUUCCAAGAGCCACUUCCAGUUCCUCGGUAUUUAAAAAGAAUUUGGGACAUGUGCAUUGUUAUUAAGCAGGACAAAUAAAGGAUCCUAAAGUUGUCCAAGUGUUGAAAAGGUAACGGGUAUCUUGAGCUGUAAGAAUAAUUAAAAUUUGGUGUUAGGAUAUUGUUCAUCUGUUUUGGACCAGUUGUUUCAGAUUUGUGCCACAAUGCCGCGGUCCAAAGAAAUUUCAGAAGACAUGCGCAGAAAGGUCAUCGAGAUUCACCAGUCUGGCAAAGGCUACAAACUUAUUGCCAAAGCUUUGGGUCUCCAGAAGUCUACGAUCCGAUCCAUUGUGCACAAAUGGAAACGGUACGGGACAGUCUUGACCCUUCCCAGAAGUGGCCGCCCACCAAAAAUCUCUCCAACGGCAAGGCGAGAAAUCAUCCAGGAAGCCAUUAAAAACCCCUGUAUGACCGCCAGGGACUUGCAGGCCACGCUUGCUUCAUCAAACAUCCACGUUUGUGAUUCCACCAUUAGAAGAAUACUGGACGUGUAUUUAAGACCAUCUUUGAUUUAUGUCGAGGGCGGUAUGGGGUUGCCGGUGUCACAUUCAGUAAAGGAACCCAACGUUACGGCUACAGCUGGAUCAAAUCAAGAUGUAAAGCUGGAAGGGAUUAGUGACUCUGAAAGUAAGACUGAUCAUACUGAUGCCAGGCCAGAUAAUGGUGACAGAAACGAAGCCGGUUUGCACACGGAUAGUGGUGGACAGAAUAAGAAGCGUAAUGAUUAUGGACAUAACAGUAAAGCUAAUGAUGUAAAAGACAUUUAUAAACUCGACCACACGGGUGAGCCUGAUGUUGGUUCUGUCACCGGUUUUAAGGGUGAUGUCUGUGACUACAACGGUAAAGAUACGAGUAAGGGGAUUAAAAUCAUGACACUAAAUACGCUUUAUUGAGAACAUGCUAAUGUGUAGCAUGUGAGGACCAUGACGAAAAUAGAAAUGUAUUUAUUAAAGUUAAUAAAAUCACCAGUUUAUUAUUACAACCAAUUCAGGCAAAAAUAAAACUGUAAAACCAAUCAGAAUGUUACAUUAUCUGACCUUAGAAUGAACUAAUUAGCUAAAGAUUAGUGUUGGUUAAUGUAAGAUUAUGAACAGGUUAAUAAAACAUACUCCCUUUCAUGUAUUCAAAAUAGGAAACAGCAUUUUGGCACAAUUUGCAAUGCAGCCUUUUAUCCACAGUUAAAAUUUAUAAAGUUAUUUGAGAAUGAAUUUGAACUUUUUUAUUCUGAGAAUAUUUUAUUGGCCAAAAUUAACACCUACAUGUACAUUAAAUGUAGAACUUGCAUAGUUUGUUGCCUGUAUGGCUCUAUUGCCAGCCUUCUGGAGAAGUUAGCUAAGCUAACCUGACAUCCAUAAAUAGAUAGCACAAAGGUAAUUCCUUAAAUUCAUUAAAUCCAACUUUGUGAGUCACUGUUGACUGUUAAUACAUUUUCAUUUAAACAUUUAUAGUCAGGUUGGGUAGUAUUGUACAAAAUAUGUGUAACUACACUGCUAAGCUUAGGAUCUACUUUUUUUUUACAAUGUUAAGCACCUCUAAGGUUAACACAACAAUGUGGUUAGUAUUGUUUGUCAGUGAUAUUGAUUAGGCCAGGUUCACCAGGUUUUGCAUGCUGAUUUUAUUCAGAACAGAAGCAAAACUGUUGAAUUUUUGUGAACCGAAAUAUGGCUUUGAUUGGAAUGUAAAUAACAUGGCUCUCUCUACUGCUAGCUGGUAGUUUACACCAAACUCCACAUUAAACAGGUGGUUGUUUUACAUCUAAAUGCUCAUAACUAUCUCAGAAAAAUACCAAAAAUGUCAUUAGUUCUGUCAUUGAUGAUUAUAGACUGUUAUAUCAGUGAUAUCCUAGUGUAGCAUUAAAAGAUUUUUGUUUGUAGCAUCUUUAGCGUUCUACUUUAAGUGCAUGUGUAAUUAUUGAAAGAUUUGGAGGAAAAAUGUUUACUUGAAAUUUUUCUUUCUCUGAUUUUUUCUUUCUCUCUUUUCUGAUGGUUUAAUCGAUUUAUUUGGUAGUUUCAGUGUUAAAAGUAUUUAAAUGUGCGAGUUUUUUGUGUAAGACAAAUCUCUGAAGACUGUUGCCUUAUGUUUUGUUGUUCAGAAGGAGUAAAAUCGCAGGUUUGGGACUAAACAAUUGUUAUAGUUAUUUGUUAUGGCCUUUCAGAUCUGGAUCGGUCAGUGUUUUACAAUACAUAGUCCGGUCUUAAAUAUAAAUAUUGUGUAUUUGUUGUUCUUGAAUGUACUGACCACUGAGGUGAAGUAACAGUAACUGACUUCUGUUUCUAAAGCAGAAAUAGAUUAAUGCUUCUUUCUAUUCAUAUACAACAUGCUAAUGUUCUGCACAUCAGUAAAGUGUUUUUUUUCUUAUGCAUAUAAAACAGCAAGUUUUGUUCCGUCUUGUUUAGUGUGUAUGUUUUACUUUUACAUAUAUGCUGGUAAAAAUGACUGAUCCUGGAUCGGGUCAUCUAGAUGAUCAUAAUCUUUAAUAAGUAUAUUUCUUUUAUAGUUUUUGUGGUUUGUUAAAAAAAACUGCUAAUGGUAUCCACAGUUAAGUUUAUGUUAUAAAGAGAACAAUAAAAUUCUAAAAUCAUU